UACUCAAGUGAGGGGAUUAUAUGGGA
rnacentral:piRNA from 1 species